ACUGGAUCUUGGUAGAGAAGCUGCUGGCCUGUAUAAACUAGCUUGGGUUCCUUCUUCCCCUUCUCCCUCUGUUAAUUGUUCUUCUACUUCUGUUUCUCCUGUAUCUGCUUCUUGUAAUGAUAACAAAAUUGUUGCAUUGUCUUCUGUGUCUGCUUCUUGUAAUGAUGACAUCUUGUCUGAUAAUAAGGUUGUUCCUUUGCCUUCACAUGUGAAUAGUUCCAUCUGUAAUAAUGAAUUUGCAUCUGAU
rnacentral:lncRNA from 1 species